rnacentral:rRNA from 1 species
AUACGGAGGAUGCGAGCGUUAUCCGGAUUUAUUGGGUUUAAAGGGUGCGCAGGCGGGCGAUUAAGUCAGCGGUGAAAGGCGACGGCUCAACCGGAGCAGUGCCGUUGAUACUGGUUGUCUUGAAUGCGGUCAAGGCCGGCGGAAUGUGACGUGUAGCGGUGAAAUGCAUAGAUAUGCCACAGAACACCGAUAGCGAAGGCAGCUGGCCGGGCCUGCAUUGACGCUGAGGCACGAAAGCGUGGGGAUCGAACAGGAUUAGAUACCCUGGUAGUCCACGCUGUAAACGAUGGACACUCGUUGUCGGCGACAGACAGUCGGCGGCCAAGCGAAAGUGAUAAGUGUCCCACCUGGGGAGUACGGUCGCAAGGCUGAAACUCAAAUGAAUUGACGGGG